GAAAUGCGAUAAGUAGUGUGAAUUGCAGAAUUCAGUGAAUCAUCGAAUCUUUGAACGCACAUUGCGCCCCUUGGUAUUCCAUGGGGCAUGCCUGUUCGAGCGUCAUUUGUACCCUAAAGCUCUGCUUGGUGUUGGGUGUUUGUCCCCGUCUCCGCGCGUGGACUCGCCCCAAAGUGAUUGGCAGCCGGCGUACUGGUCCCGGAGCGCAGCACAUGUCGCGCAAACGAGUGCCUUGGUACGGCGGCGUCCAUAAGCCCCUCUCUCACGCUCUUGACCUCGGAUCAGGUAGGGAUACCCGCUGAACUUAAGC
rnacentral:misc_RNA from 1 species